rnacentral:rRNA from 1 species
CAGCAGCCGCGGGAAUACGGAGGGUGCAAGCGUUAUCCGGAUUUAUUGGGUUUAAAGGGUCCGUAGGCGGAUCUGUAAGUCAGUGGUGAAAUCUCACAGCUUAACUGUGAAACUGCCAUUGAUACUGCAGGUCUUGAGUAAAUUUGAAGUGGCUGGAAUAAGUAGUGUAGCGGUGAAAUGCAUAGAUAUUACUUAGAACACCAAUUGCGAAGGCAGGUCACUAAGAUUUAACUGACGCUGAUGGACGAAAGCGUGGGGAGCGAACAGGAUUAGAUACCCGGGUAGUCCCUGUCUCUUAUAC